UAUAGUUCUGCGUGUAUUAAGUUUUAAAGUACUUACUGGACACAUUUUCUGUGUCAAGAAAUAGUACAAGGCACUGGAGAUCAGCAGUGAACAAGACAAAUCCAUUCCCCAUCAGAUAAGUGACAAACUAGAGGAGACAGGUGACAUAUAUGAGCGAAGAGACACUUAACCUAGCCUUGGAGUGGAGAAAGGUCGGUAAAAUCUUCCCAGAGGAAGGGAGCACAUAACCUGAAAAUUAAGAGGUAUUGAUCUCAAGGGCACUCCCC